GACACCUGGCAUUGGCCACUGUCGGAAGACAGGACACUGGGCUAGAUGGACCUUUGGUCUAACCUAGCAUGUCUGUUCUUAUGUUCUUAUGUUGUACCCA